UACGGAGGGGGCUAGCGUUGUUCGGAAUUACUGGGCGUAAAGCGCACGUAGGCGGCUUUGUAAGUUAGAGGUGAAAGCCCGGAGCUCAACUCCGGAAUUGCCUUUAAGACUGCAUCGCUCGAAUCAUGGAGAGGUGAGUGGAAUUCCGAGUGUAGAGGUGGAAUGCGUAGAGAUCCGGAAGAACACCGGUGGCGAAGGCGGCCCGCUGGGCAGUGGCUGACGCUGAGGCGCGACAGCGUGGGGAGCAAACAGG
rnacentral:rRNA from 1 species